UGGCACUAUUACUUAAACCUCUAAUGUUUUUUGAGACUGAAGAGGUUACGCUGUAGUGCAAAAGAAAUUUUCACUUUCUACAGAGCACAGCAUUGUGUGGCUGUUGCUCUUAAGAAGUUGACACAGUU
ensembl:snoRNA small nucleolar RNA SNORA35